GAUGAACGCUAGCUACAGGCUUAACACAUGCAAGUCGAGGGGUAACGAGAGGAAAGCUUGCUUUCCUUGUCGACGACCGGCGCACGGGUGAGUAACGCGUAUCCAACCUGCCCCCAACUAAGGAAUAACCUUGCGAAAGUAAGACUAAUACCUUAUAAUUUCCUCAGAUGACAUCUGACGAGGAAUAAAGAUUUAUCGGCUGAGGAUGGGGAUGCGUCGGAUUAGCUUGUUGGCGGGGUAACGGCCCACCAAGGCAACGAUCAGUAGGGGUUCGGAGAGGAAGGUCCCCCACAUUGGAACUGAGACACGGUCCAAACUCCUACGGGAGGCAGCAGUGAGGAAUAUUGGUCAAUGGGCGAAAGCCUGAACCAGCCAAGUAGCGUGCAGGAUGACGGCCCUAUGGGUUGUAAACUGCUUUUAUACAGGAAUAAAGUUAGCCACGUGUGGUUAUUUGUAGGUACUGUAUGAAUAAGGACCGGCUAAUUCCGUGCCAGCAGCCGCCGUAA
rnacentral:rRNA from 1 species